rnacentral:rRNA from 1 species
UACGUAGGGGCCAAGCGUUGUCCGGAUUUAUUGGGCGUAAAGAGCUCGUAGGCGGUUCGGCAAGUCAGCUGUGAAAUCUCCACGCUCAACGUGGAGGGGGUCAGCUGAUACUGCUGUGACUCGAGUCCGGUAGGGGAGUGUGGAAUUCCCAGUGUAGAGGUGAAAUUCGUAGAUAUUGGGAAGAACACCGAUGGCGAAGGCAGCCAUCUGGACCGACACUGACGCUGAGGCGCGAAAGCGUGGGGAGCAAACGGG